rnacentral:piRNA from 1 species
UCUUUAUAUUCGGUGCACAACCCAG